UUCUUCUUAAGCAUUGUAGGCUUCACCACGGUCACGAACAAUACAAAGUUGGUGGGAAACUGAUGGUGACCACAAGGACAUUCAUCCUCAACUAAGCCAUCAAAAAUGACUUUGUUACUUCGAGUAGUUAUCUCUCCAAAAGAAGCCCGUCAAAUCCUGCUCACAGAGGUACCAGCAUCUGUUGACCAGCUCAUCAAUGUACUUAAAGACAAAAUCCAGUUGGAAGGUGAUUUCUCACUCCAGUUCGAGGACCCUGAUUUUUGGAAUGCCAGUUGACUCAAAUGUCAGAGUUGCCAGAUGGGCGUGCAGUCUUGCACAUUGUGUGUAACACUGGGGCAUCUCCCCUCAACCUAUCUGAUAGCCAUUCCAUUGGCUCAGUGUCCUCCCUUGACACAGCCAGCUUACACUCUGAGGACUGUAAUGAAGCGCAGAGGAGCACUACUCGUUCCUUCCAGGGGAGCUUG